GCCAUUUGCGUAACUGUCCAGAGGCUUCACAAAGAGCUUCAGUAUGCAUCGCAAGGGGCUUGACUGCAUAAGCGCAGUAUUACGGAGAGACUGAGCAGGGUCACCUUUUUCAUCUGUAAAGGAUAAGUGUGUGAUUAUCCCUGUUGGGGCUGCUGUGCAUUCAUGGCCUUUUGGCAUUUGUGGACCUGAGGGUGUGUUUUUUUUUUCUGGCUCUCGUCUCUGUGUUUGAGUCCUCUGCAAGGAGCUGUACUGUUUGCUUGUCCAUCACGGAUAUGACCUUCUUGUAGCCCAGGGCAUGGGCACGGACACUUGAAUGAGGCACGAGGGCUUUGGAAGCACCUUGCGACAGCAGAGUACAUCUCCUGUCACGUUCCUGAGGCGUGCCAGGCGUCAGCAGUUCCAGUUCCUGAAGUGCUGGAGAUGCUCGGAGCGCAAGAGGAGCUGGGAGUGUGAUGCACCUCGUUGGUAUGUUAGCUACGUGACCUUGGCUCAGCGUAGUAAAUGGAAGCGCUAAGCCUGGAUCGGGAAGGUGGGUGUUUCACUGGAAGAAGUCUGGCUGGUGUGCCAGUGCCUGAUUUCUGCAGGUGAAGAGGAGCCUUAUGCCGGAAGCAACGUCCUGGCUAGCCUUUGUGUUCCUUGAUGAGGAUGGAACCUGCCUACCAUCAUUCCCAAGCUAAGU